rnacentral:tRNA from 1 species
GGUGGGGUGGCAGAGCGGCCAUGCGUUCGCCUGCAGAGCGAAUAUAUAGGGGUUCGAAUCCCCUCCCCACCU